CAUUAGUUUGACAUCAUCCCAAGACUCCGAAACCUUUCUGAAGAAAAAAAAAGAUCAAAACUUAAAAAAUGAUGAAUCUCAUCUACUUGGUGAUCUGUAUCGCUUUCCUGAUCCUAAUGGCUGAAGUCAGCUGGGCACUUCCAUUAGAUAAGGAAGAAUUUUUGAGAGAGAAGAGGAUUGAUCCCAAGUUGCUUGAAUCACUGCUUGGAUAAUAUAACAAGUUAUGACUACCAAUACAGUGGGUAUAUGCAAGGCUAUAGGCUAUUGUGAUGGUCUAUGAAUUUGCAGUAAAAUAAAAGUCAUACAUACUU
rnacentral:sRNA from 1 species